rnacentral:rRNA from 1 species
CCUACGGGAGGCAGCAGUGGGGAAUUUUGGACAAUGGGCGCAAGCCUGAUCCAGCAAUGCCGCGUGCAGGAUGAAGGCCUUCGGGUUGUAAACUGCUUUUGUACGGAACGAAACGGUCUGCCCUAAUACGGUGGGCUAAUGACGGUACCGUAAGAAUAAGCACCGGCUAACUACGUGCCAGCAGCCGCGGUAAUACGUAGGGUGCGAGCGUUAAUCGGAAUUACUGGGCGUAAAGCGUGCGCAGGCGGUUAUAUAAGACAGAUGUGAAAUCCCCGGGCUCAACCUGGGACCUGCAUUUGUGACUGUAUAGCUAGAGUACGAUAGAGGGGGAUGGAAUUCCGCGUGUAGCAGUGAAAUGCGUAGAUAUGCGGAGGAACACCGAUGGCGAAGGCAAUCCCCUGGACCUGUACUGACGCUCAUGCACGAAAGCGUGGGGAGCAAACAGGAUUAGAUACCCUGGUAGUCCACGCCCUAAACGAUGUCAACUGGUUGUUGGGUCUUCACUGACUCAGUAACGAAGCUAACGCGUGAAGUUGACCGCCUGGGGAGUACGGCCGCAAGGUUGAAAACUCAAAAGGAAUUGACGG